rnacentral:rRNA from 1 species
CAAAAACAUCGCCUCUUGUUGUUUAAAAAUAAGAGGUCCAGCCUGCCCAAGGACCAUGUGUUUAACGGCUGCGGUAUUUUAACCGUGCGAAGGUAGCGUGAUCACUCGUCUUUUAAAUAGAGACCCGUAUGAAUGGUAAAACGAGGGCUUAGCUGUCUCCUUUUUCAUGUCAAUGAAAUUGAUCUACCCGUGCAAAAGCGGGUAUUAUCUUAUAAGACGAGAAGACCCUGUGAAGCUUUAGAYAAUAAGACAGACCCGGCCUAAAACCACUAAUAAAGGACUAAGCUUUAAACCCCUGUCUCAGUGUCUUCGGUUGGGGCGACCACGGGGAGUUGCGUAACCCCCGCGUGGACUGGGAACAAGAGUGUUUUUGUUCCUAAAGAUAAGAGCCUCCGUUCUAAUAAACAGAAUUUCUGACCUUACAAGAUCCGGCAAUGCCGAUCAACGAACCAAGUUACUCCAGGGAUAACAGCGCCAUCCUCUUUCAGAGCCCUUAUCGACAAGGGGGUUUACGACCUCGAUGUUGGAUCAGGACAUCCUAAUGGUGUAGCCGCUAUUAAGGGUUCGUUUGUUCAACGAUUAAUAGUCCUACGUGAUCUGA